AGAGUUUGAUUAUGGCUCAGGAUGAAUGCUGGCGGCAUGCCUAAUACAUGCAAGUCGAGCGGUAACAGGACUAGCUUGCUAGUUGCUGACGAGCGGCGGACGGCUGAGUAACGCAUGGGAACGCACCCCAAACUGAGGGAUAACUAGUCGAAAGAUUAGCUAAUACCGCAUGUGAUCUUCGGAUUAAAGCUUUCGGGCGGUUUGGGAGCGGCCUGUGUACGAUUAGCUAGUUGGUGAGGUAAUGGCUCACCAAGGCGACGAUCGUUAGAUGGUUUGAGAGGAUGAUCAUCCAGACUGGAACUGAGACACGGUCCAGACUCCUACGGGAGGCAGCAGUAGGGAAUCUUUCACAAUGGGCGAAAGCCUGAUGGGAAGCAAUGCCGCGUGCAGGACGAAGGCCUUCGGGUUGUAAACUGCUUUUAUAAGCGAGGAAUAUGACGGUAACUUAUGAAUAAGGAUCGGCUAACUACGUGCCAGCCGCUGC
rnacentral:rRNA from 1 species